GUCUAUGCAGGCAGAUUAGUGUCACAGCUGUAACUGAGGCACAGAGCAAUAAACAUAGCAGAACCAAUCUCCAUGGUGGCAAGAGGGGGCACUGGAGGUGACAACAAUGGAGAAGGAUCUUUCUUCUGACAAGUUUUAGAUACUACUAGCUUAUUGAACAAUCCAUCGACCCUUCUGUAGUGAGUCCGCUUAGUGCAGAAUGGCUGCAGGGAAUCUAUUCAGACAUCCCAGUAGAAAACUACACAGACUGGAACAAAUCCCUUCCAGAUUUAAUACAGGAACACAGGACAUCUACAGAGGUGCAAUAAGGAAGGAAUGCAUGGGCUACAUAAUACUGGAUCACACAGAACAAGAAAGCCUUUGUUUUGAAAUGCCUC